rnacentral:rRNA from 1 species
AAUAGAUACCCAGGUAGUCCACGCCGUAAACGAUGUCGAUUUGGAGGUUGUGCCCUUGAGGCGUGGCUUCCGGAGCUAACGCGUUAAAUCGACCGCCUGGGGAGUACGGCCGCAAGGUUAAAACUCAAAUGAAUUGACGGGGGCCCGCACAAGCGGUGGAGCAUGUGGUUUAAUUCGAUGCAACGCGAAGAACCUUACCUGGUCUUGACAUCCACAGAACUUAGCAGAGAUGCUUUGGUGCCUUCGGGAACUGUGAGACAGGUGCUGCAUGGCUGUCGUCAGCUCGUGUUGUGAAAUGUUGGGUUAAGUCCCGCAACGAGCGCAACCCUUAUCCUUUGUUGCCAGCGGUUAGGCCGGGAACUCAAAGGAGACUGCCAGUGAAAACUGGAGGAAGGUGGGGAUGACGUCAAGUCAUCAUGGCCCUUACGACCAGGGCUACACACGUGCUACAAUGGCGCAUACAAAGAGAAGCGACCUCGCGAGAGCAAGCGGACCUCAUAAAGUGCGUCGUAGUCCGGAUUGGAGU